AUUGAACGCUGGCGGCAGGCCUAACACAUGCAAGUCGAGCGGAUGAAGGGAGCUUGCUCCUGGAUUCAGCGGCGGACGGGUGAGUAAUGCCUAGGAAUCUGCCUGGUAGUGGGGGAUAACGUCCGGAAACGGGCGCUAAUACCGCAUACGUCCUGAGGGAGAAAGUGGGGGAUCUUCGGACCUCACGCUAUCAGAUGAGCCUAGGUCGGAUUAGCUAGUUGGUGGGGUAAAGGCCUACCAAGGCGACGAUCCGUAACUGGUCUGAGAGGAUGAUCAGUCACACUGGAACUGAGGCACGGUCCAGACUCCUACGGGAGGCAGCAGUGGGGAAUAUUGGACAAUGGGCGAAAGCUUGAUCCAGCCAUGCCGCGUGUGUGAAGAAGGUCUUCGGAUUGUAAAGCACUUUAAGUUGGGAGGAAGGGCAGUAAGUUAAUACCUUGCUGUUUUGACGUUACCAACAGAAUAAGCACCGGCUAACUUCGUG
rnacentral:rRNA from 1 species